GCGAACGCUGGCGGCAGGCCUCACCCCUGCAAGUCGAACGCACCUUUCGGGGUUAGUGGCGGACGGGUGAGUAACACGUGGGAACGUGCCUUUAGGUUCGGAAUAACUCAGGGAAACUUGUGCUAAUACCGAAUGUGCCCUUCGGGGGAAAGAUUUAUCGCCUUUAGAGCGGCCCGCGUCUGAUUAGCUAGUUGGUUGAGGUAAUGGCUCACCAAGGCGACGAUCAGUAGCUGGUCUGAGAGGAUGAUCAGCCACAUUGGGACUGAGACACGGCCCAAACUCCUACGGGAGGCAGCAGUGGGGAAUCUUGCGCAAUGGGCGAAAGCCUGACGCAGCCAUGCCGCGUGAAUGAUGAAGGUCUUAGGAUUGUAAAAUUCUUUCACCGGGGACGAUAAUGACGGUACCCGGAGAAGAAGCCCCGGCUAACUUCGUG
rnacentral:rRNA from 1 species